CAGGCUUCUGGUAUCAGGGCUCUAAGCCAAAGCUGCACAUCACAGAAGCACCCAGGGUAACAGGCAGGUGGUAACACACCCCUUACUGGUCUGCUGAACCCCCAAAGUAUUACUCCUUGCAG